GAAAACAUCAUCAGCUUGUGAAUUUAGAUUUGGAUAGGUUUGUCCAAAAAUGUCAUGUAUAAGUAGACAAAUAAUGGGAUUUUUUUGCCGAAUAGCAAAUGUAACCUGAACUAGGUUAUUUAAUACCUUCACUCCGUAUGUUCUAGUAUUUUUUAUUUGCUUGGUUAAAACAAAUAGUCAGAGGUUUUCUGUUCCAGUAAGUCGACCGUCCUACUCUUAUUUAAUUCCAAAAGUCCCUGCAGACACACGUUAUAGUCAGAGCCAUUCAACAUUCAAAAUAAGUUUUAGUUUUUAACAUCUCUCCUGAACACUAUUCAAACGGGACAAGUUUGACUGCCACCAUGAAAUGUCUCGCUCUGGCUUCACUGCUAUGUGCUUUGGUGUCACUAUCAGAUAGUUGUCAGGUGCCGUACGUGGAACCACGUGAAAGAAUCACACAUUGUCAGGACAACGCGGAUAAGACCUGGCAUCCCGUUGGAUCUAGAUGGAGAAACAGUAAAUAUAUGGACUGUACUUGCGGAGGGUGUUGCCCUGCGUAUGCUACCCCCACUGUUCCUGACGACUGUGAGUCAGUUUUAGACUUGAAGGCUUGUAAAUACAUAGUGCACAAGAAGAACGACUCAACCGUAGAGUGUCAUAUGUAUUCUAUGUCAGGACAACCAUGCCCAAUAAUGCUGUGUAAUUAUUGGGAGACAUCAGAAAGAUAAAUAUAGAUGUGAACCCUCUCUGGCUUCUCACCAAAAAACAAUGCCCGUUUUGUUGGUAUUAAAAAACGACCACAAAUAUGAAUAAAAAUAGUAUAUAUAUAUAAUAGUAAUACAUAUAAAAUAGUGCUACAAACUAAAUUCCAUCUAAUAAACAAAUAAAACAUGUUUACAUUGUCUCUUUUCUUUUCUGUAUGUUUGUUUUAGAAAGAAGCAGACUAAAAAACCAUCACUGGAGCAUUGCACCAUGGGUAUUCACUUCAGAUUUCAUCAUUACCAUAACACGUACCGUAACAUCUCCCUUGUUAAGUUAUGUUUUUCAGCUUUCCAGUUGUAAUCUCCUCGUCCUAAAAUAUUUACCUGCAACUGCUGGAGUUGAGCAUAAAGGAUUCGCCUUUUAUGACCGAUCAUGGCUCUUAUCCCAUGAUCGGUUAGGGGUUAAGGCCCUUUAUGGUUGUUAGAGGCAGCUAAAACACAUUUGAUUA